rnacentral:lncRNA from 1 species
AAUAAUUGGAUUUCAUCCAAUUGCUCAACAUGGCUUAUGCACUUUUCAAAAACUUGGCCCUUGCCAAAAAUUCAUUCUCGGGGAUACUCCGUGAAGGCAUCUUACCGAGACCGCCAAGGCUAUUUAUUGUCACACACACAAACACAUUUAACCUUUGACAACACAGCCGUUCCUCGGCGUUGGCUGAGUCCCAGUUUCACGUGGU